UUGAAUUAUAAUUCCCUAGACUAUAGUAUACAUAUACUAUUACUUUGAAAUUUCAGUGACCUAAGAAAUAUAUCAAACCUGAGGUUUCAUGUUUCACACAAACAUGUAGGUUGGCAAAACCUUUUUAAAAAUAAUGUAAAUUAAUCACAAGUCUGCAUAUGCCCUCUCAUAGGCAAAUGUAUGCACUGUAUGUAUAAGUAAGAUAUGUAUACUACACGUAUGCCCUUCUCUUGACCCACAUUUUGUAAAUAAAACAGAUAUGAUGAGUCAAUGGCAGUUUAUGAAAACAUAUAUACAUGUCAUUUCAUAUUGCAAUUUAUAAUUUUGAAACAUCAGUAUUUAAAUUUUCACUGAAUAUGUGUUGAGACACAAUUUUAAAAUUCACAUUGUCUCACGCAGUCUAAUUACUCAAUGGUAUGAUAUAGACCUAACUGUGCAGAUAUCAAUUAUGAUGAUCUUUUUUCUAGGCAUCGGCCUGAAGACCAAGGGAGGUUAGAUAGGACCAGUGCAGGUUGAAGUGGAUUUCGAGUCAACAAGUAUAACAGCAAGAGAGGUACUCCAUUUACAGUGAUGAUGACAUAUCCCCUGGACCCCACAACUCCACAAAUUUAAAAAUGUUUGAUCCAGUUCAAAGAUUAAAGAACUACUGCAAAAUUUGGGACUUGGAUGAAAAACAUUAAUUCACUUAUAUGAGCUCAGAGCAGUGGAUGUUGUACAACAUACUUUAAACUAAAUUGUGAAUUUAAGGGAAAACAAGUACAUGUACUCGUGUAUUACAUGUACAUGUCUUUUGAAAGACAAUAAUAUUGCAUAGAUGUAAAGGAAAUUUCAAUGUUGAUUAUUCUUUCUUAGAUAUAUUAGUAAAAAAUGUGCACAUGAUAGAAUAUCAAUUUUAUAACUUCAAUCAAUGUGUUUGAAUUUUCCUUGUAAUUCAAAAUUUAGUUGAAACAUACAUCAUUGAUACAUUAAUGUAUAUCAAAUUUUUAGAAAUGUUUCAUAAUGGAACUAAUUCACCCCCCCCCCCCCCCCUUCCCCCUUAUACAUACAGUGAACAUAGACCUUCACCUGGGGAAAACUACAGUUAGUUAAUGCAAUAUACAUGUACAUGCAUUCUCAAUUAUCCAAUAGUGAGUUUUUGGUUCUUUGUGAAAGUACAAUUAGAAAUCUUAAACUUAUGAAAGACAUACCUAUCUGUGAGGGCAAGAUGACUCAGAUGGACUUAAAUGUAGUGAUCCAUGGGCAGUCCAUGGGUCUCUUUCCAUUGAUAUUAAUUAUUUAUUGAAAUAUGAAAUGGUUAUUUAAACAUAUUUGGUGUAUUAUACUGUAUAGUGAUAUAAAUUUCUAUAAAAAAAAUGUGUAUAGGUAAUAGAUUUGGUCCAGUUAUUACAAGAAAUUGUAUGAAAAAUAACUAAAUAUUUAGGCAAUCAUUGUGAGUGCGAAAAGGUCAACUGCAAUAGCACACAAUAUAUAUCAUUCUUAAAUGGCUCAUAGAAACUUCUAGUAUUGCGAGUUUGAAUGCUCAAUGUGGUAAUUUGGGAAUGCUUAAUCAUUUAAGGUCAAUAGUUUAUCUCUGCUGACUGUAUCUUUUAAAAUUCAUUUUUAGAAGGGAGGGGGUAGGGUUACAAAAUCUGACAUAGUUUCAGAUUAAACCUCAUUUGGUAUAUUUUUUUCUAUUCAAUAUUUUAGAUACUACUUGACUUAUUGUAAAAAUGAAAUAAAAUCAGAAAUUUUAUGAGCAGAAUUUUGUUGUUGUCAGAAAAUGUAUGCCUGAUAGUAUUUGAGAAACGCCAUAUUUAGGGUAAAUUUGGCCAAUUGCCAAGUCGAAUCAUUCCAAUGUUUUCCUUAGAUGCAUUUUGAAUUUCUAAUCAAUGUUGACUUUUUAUCUGUUUGUGUUUAAUAUACACAACUAUAUAUGAGAAACAAUAUUUCUGGUGUCAAUAAAAUUUUUAUUGGCUUCUGUGUCAAUUUGCUCAAUUUUGGCAUUUUUUGCCUUUUGGGGCUGUAAAAGAGGGAAUUUCAAUCUCGCUUUCCUCGAAAAUUAACCUGAUUACUUUUGUUGAUUUUUUGAUAUGUUGUAGAAUAAAGUCAAAAUGUUAUAAUAAAUAAAAUUGAAAAAAAUUCAAUGAGCAGUUUUUUUGGGGCUAGCUAUCAAUAGCUACCUUAAUGAUAUACUGUAACCGUUUUAUCACACCGAUCAAACAAAACCGGAAUAAAACUUAGAUUAAUACAAUGUUUAUAGGACCUUCUCGCCACCGUGUUGUUGUUAGGUUCUUAUACGGAAACCAAUUAACUCGUGAUCGGCAAUUUCCAUUCUAUAAUGAAUAUUCAUAAUUUCGUUCGAGACAUACUGACACCCCUUUUUUGCUUGGAAUCAGUGAUUUGCAUGGAAUCAGCAUGUCAGAAUGACAAUUUAAAUUCUUAUAUUAAAAAUCAAUAUAGGCAUCAUAAUAUACAUAUACAUUUUAUGAAUAAAAUGAGUUCACCAAACUUUUAUCCAAUAAAAUUAAUGGCAUACCCUGUAGACCCAAAACCGCCAAAUUUGUGUCCCGCAAAAGAAAAAAAAGA